rnacentral:lncRNA from 1 species
GUAUAGUAUGUGACAAAUUUUCUGGAAAGAACACUGGUUCAUUUAAAACUGUCAGUGAGGAUAAACGGGAGCUAUUUACUCGUUACUUUAACUUUGAUAUGCAUCUGGAAAAUUUAAUUUGUUGUCCUUAUUGUUACAAUAAUUUUAAUUCCUUUUCUAGAUCAGAUGCUGCAGAGGACCAGUUGUCCAAAACGACUGAAUACUUAUUCAGUUGUUUGGAAAAUUUUACAAUUAUAGACACUGAAAAGGUUACAACAGAAAAUAUAGAUUUAUUUUCUUUCAGGUCUGUCCUAGAAUCUGUAAUAAAUUCUUUUGUAGAAGAAAAAGCCUUGCUUUUACCAAAUUUAUUUGAAAAGUACAAAUGUAUUUUACAUAAAAAUGCAAACAAAUUAGGCUUAUGUGUUGAGCAGAAGGUUUUUCAUCGUCCACAGUGGUUAUUUACCAUGUUGAAGUCGUGCCUUGGCAGAGCCCUAUCAUAUUAUGUGCCAAAAAAGAAAAAUUUAGGGAGAAUGAUUUACAGGAAUGGUACUGAUAUAUUUGGUUGUUUACACGCACUUGUUGUUGAAAAUUGUAAAUGCAUUGAAGAUAAUAAAAGAUUAAAAAAAGAAAGCAUUAUCCAAGCAGAAAAAUUGGCUUCUACUGUAUCAGAGGAAAAUAGAAAAAAAAAACAAGAGCAAAGUCUAGAAGAUGCUGUAAAAAUCUUAAAAAAUUAUGUUAAAAUAUAUGUUUCAGAUAAAAUCAAGAUGGACGGACUUCCUGACAUAGACAAUUUUAAUUGUAAAGAUGAAAUCUUGAAAAUCCCCCC